GAGUUUGAUCCUGGCUCAGGAUGAACGCUGGCGGCGUGCUUAACACAUGCAAGUCGAGCGGGGAUGCCAUUUUCGAGGCGGUUAGUUUACUAAGCGCCAAGAUGCUGGCAUCUUAGUGGCGGACGGGUGAGUAACGCGUGGGUAACCUGCCUUAUACAGGGGGAUAACACUUAGAAAUAGGUGCUAAUACCGCAUAAGCGCACGGGGCUGCAUGGCCCAGUGUGAAAAACUCCGGUGGUAUAAGAUGGACCCGCGUCUGAUUAGCUUGUUGGCGGGGUAACGGCCCACCAAGGCGACGAUCAGUAGCCGGCCUGAGAGGGUGGACGGCCACAUUGGGACUGAGACACGGCCCAAACUCCUACGGGAGGCAGCAGUGGGGAAUAUUGGACAAUGGGGGGAACCCUGAUCCAGCGACGCCGCGUGAGUGAAGAAGUAUUUCGGUAUGUAAAGCUCUAUCAGCAGGGAAGAAAGAAAUGACGGUACCUGACUAAGAAGCCCCGGCUAACUACGUGCCAGCAGCCGCGGUAAUACGUAGGGGGCAAGCGUUAUCCGGAUUUACUGGGUGUAAAGGGAGCGUAGACGGUUAUGCAAGUCUGGAGUGAAAGGCGGGGGCCCAACCCCCGGACUGCUUUGGAAACUGUGUAACUGGAGUGCAGGAGAGGUAAGUGGAAUUCCUAGUGUAGCGGUGAAAUGCGUAGAUAUUAGGAGGAACACCAGUGGCGAAGGCGGCUUA
rnacentral:rRNA from 1 species